UACGUAGGGAGCAAGCGUUGUCCGGAUUUAUUGGGCGUAAAGAGCUCGUAGGUGGUUCGGUAAGUCGGAUGUGAAAUCUCCAGGCUCAACCUGGAGGGUCAUUCGAUACUGCCGUGACUAGAGGUCGGUAGGGGAGUGUGGAAUUCCUGGUGGAGCGGUGAAAUGCGCAGAUAUCAGGAGGAACACCCGUAGCGAAGGCGGCACUCUGGGCCGAUACUGACACUGAGGAGCGAAAGCGUGGGGAGCGAACAGG
rnacentral:rRNA from 1 species